AUCAUCAUUAUUUUUUUGAGCAAACUGUUGUCUGUCAGAUAAAUCAAAAAUAAGAAAGUAAAAGUUAUUUUACCUUCGCUUAUGCCUUCUCUUAUGUUCUUUCUUCAUAUAGUUUCAAGUUUCUGAUUUAUAUCAUUUUUCUUCCCUCUAAAGAACUUCUUUUAACAUUUCUUGCAAGGAGGCUCUGCUGGCAUCAAACUUCCUUGAUUUUCAUCUUUUUUUCUCCUUCACUCUUGAAAGAUAAUUUUUCAGGGUACAGAUUGGUUUACCUUUUUCUCUCCGUACUUUAAAUAUUUCACUCAAUGCUCUUCUUGCUUCUGUGGUUUCUGAGAAGCUAGAUGGAAUUCUUACUUUUGCUUCCUCUGCUUUCUUUCAAAUUUUUUUUCUUUAAUUUUCUCUUGUUUGAAAAUGAUAUGCCUGUGCGUAAUUUUGAUUGUUUGUUUCUGUAUGUUUCUGCUUGGUGUUCCUUGAGCUCCCUGCACCUUGUUUGGUAUCUGACAUUAAUUAGUGAAAAUAGUCAUUGUUUAUUGUAUCCCUUUCUCUCUUCAGAUCCCGGGAGCCCCAUUAUAUGCGUACGUUCUACUUUUGGUAGUUGAGCCACUGUUCUUGGGUAUUCUGUCCUGUUUGUUUUAUUUAUUUAUUUUUCAGUGUGCAUUUCAGUCUUGGAGUUUCUAUUGAGAUUCCUCAAGAUCAGAGACCCUUUCCUCACCAUGUGUAGUUUGCUGAAAAAACCCAUAAAAGGCUUUUUUUUCAUUUCAAUAACACUGUUUUUGGUCUGUAGCAUUUAUUUUUGGUUCCUUCUUUGAAUUUCCAUCUCUCUGCUAUGCUGCCCUUCUUUUAUCGCUGCCUACUUUAUCCAUUAGAGCCUGAGAAUAUUAAUCACAGUUGUUUAAAAUUCUCAGCCUGAAAAUUACAACAACACUGCCAUAUCCAAGAUUGGUUCUGAUGCUUGCUUUGUCUCUUCAAUCUGUGGGUGUUGGGUGUUUUUUUUUUGGUUUGUUUUUGUUUUACAUUUUAGUAUGUCAUAGUUUUUUUCUUGAUAGCUGGACAUGAGGUACUGUCUACAAUAAGCAGACAUUUGUAAUGAGGUGGUGAGGUGUCGGGGAGGGAGGUGUCCUAUAGUCCUAUGAUUAGGGCUCAGUCUUUUAGUGAUCCUGCACCUCGAGACUGUGAAACUUCACAAGUUCCCUACCCAAACCUCAGGCAAGACAGGACGGCUAGAGUGGGAUGAGCUUGGGUAUUUCACGUCCCUGAAAUCAAUUAGGCUCUGAUGAAACCUAGCUGAUGAGGCUCUACUUAACUAGUUUCUCCUGCUGGUGGACCUGUGAAGAAGAACAUGGCUGUCUGAUUUCAGAAUGGUUCCUUUCCACCUCUCUCUGCUGGAGGCUAAAGAAGAGUUUUUUGCUCCAGCUUUUCUUUGAGGUCUUGGUGGGGCUCCUGGAGGUUAAACCCACAAAAGUGUGCUUUCCUCCCAGUGCCUGGGUGCUCUGGAGUUUCUACCCCUCAAAUUGAGGCUUCCACAGUUUUGUCGGUUACGCUUGAGGUUCUCCUGCUCCAGGCUGGUUGCUGUGGGGGCUUCCACUCAUGGAUUUCUGCGCUGGCCAUGAAAGCAAAAUGAAAAAGAUCCUGGGGCCUGUAAAAAUUUGGGAAGGAGAGGCACCCUGCUAAUCGAAUUGUUGAGGAGCCCCCAAAGAGAGUGUUGCUGAAUUUCCCGGUGAGCCUAACAAGCACAUGAUGAAGACGUCAAAGCAGAGGCACCAAAAGUUUUUUUAAAAAUGUUCGUUUAAUAAUAUUUCAAAAAGAAGAGAAAACCUAGAUGCUUCUGGGGGAGAAUCAGAGUGCUGAGGCAUGCUUCACACCCAGGUCGUCGUUUGAUGUUUCGUGGUGAGCAGUGCUUCUCAGUCUCUUCCAUCCUUCAUGCUUCUCUGCAGCCCCGAUAGAGUCCUGGCAACAGCGUGGAUCCCUGCACCUCAUGGACGGCAUCAGGCACAAAGAGAAGUCCAAGAACCAUCAGAUCACAAGAGGAGACUCUCUUGGAAGGAACUAUAGCUGUCAGUCAUCGUAUGCGUGCAAGUACAUACAAAUCUACUUAAGUGGACAGUGCAGUUCCCGAGCACCCGAGUACAAAGUAGAGCGAUACAAUCUCAGCAGAAAGGAAGACAAGCUUCUCGAAGACGGGACAGCGUGGCCGAAAGGCACUCGCCCUGGGCUGCUCAGGAGUGGAAGUGCGGUCUUUGCAAGUCAGUGAAAGGCUUAGUUUCCUCAUUUUCAGCCUCCUCAUCUUCAACAUGCAGGACUAGACUGAAGGAUCUAUUAAGAGCCUUCAGCUUAAAAAAUAAAUAAAUACAAAAGAACAAAAACAAGAACGGGUGACACUUCCUUUUUGAUCCCAACACAAGCGCAGUUGCACAUCCUCUGUGAACUGACGGAGGACCCGGAGGCAGAGAUGUCAGCAGACGACGCCAACAUGUUUGUAAUUCAUGAACCGCCUCGGUCAUGGACAGCUGAACACUGACCAAACGGAGAAACGAUCCUGACAAGAGGUAAGCAAGUCCAGAAUCCUCAGAGCUGCAAAAAUGUAAUGCUUAGUUAAUGCUAUUAUAUGAUCUUACAGCUAUGAGAAUUCAGAGGGGUUUUUUUUAACCUUUCCAAGGAAAUCGUUCUCUCGUUGGGAAAUCAUUUGAAAGCUACACAAUCUCUUUCCUGAUAAAAAUCAAACAAAAAUUAACAUGUGGCCUGCGAAAAUUGUAUGUAUAACUUCUGGGUAUCCAUGAACCUAGAGAGGUCUAUCCGUGCGACCCCUGACCAAGUCGUUGCCGUCAUUUAAAAGGUAAGUGACUUGGAGUUCCCGUGGUGACUCGGUGGUAGCAAACUCAACUAGUAUCUUUGAGGAUGCAGGUUCAAUCCCUGGCCCUACUCAGUGGGUUAAGGA